rnacentral:rRNA from 1 species
GAACGCGAAGAACCUUACCCGGGCUUGAACUAAGAGUGACAGAUUUAGAGAUAGAUUUUUCUUCGGACACUCUUGGAGGUGCUGCAUGGUUGUCGUCAGCUCGUGCCGUGAGGUGUCGGCUUAAGUCCCGCAACGAGCGCAACCCUUUUCCUUACUUGCCAGCAUUUCGGAUGGGAACUUUAAGGAUACUGCCAGUGACAAACUGGAGGAAGGCGGGGACGACGUCAAGUCAUCAUGGCCCUUACGGCCAGGGCUACACACGUGCUACAAUGGUCGGUACAAAGGGUUGCUACACAGCGAUGUGAUGCUAAUCUCAAAAAGCCGAUCGUAGUCCGGAUCGCAGUCUGCAACUCGACUGCGUGAAGUCGGAAUCGCUAGUAAUCGCGGAUCAGAAUGCCGCGGUGAAUACGUUCCCGGGUCUUGUACACACC